GCUGCCCUCUGGCGGCGUGCCUAAUACAUGCAAGUCGAGCGAACAGAUGAGGAGCUUGCUCCUCUGACGUUAGCGGCGGACGGGUGAGUAACACGUGGAUAACCUACCUAUAAGACUGGGAUAACUUCGGGAAACCGGAGCUAAUACCGGAUAAUAUAUUGAACCGCAUGGUUCAAUAGUGAAAGACGGUUUUGCUGUCACUUAUAGAUGGAUCCGCGCCGCAUUAGCUAGUUGGUAAGGUAACGGCUUACCAAGGCGACGAUGCGUAGCCGACCUGAGAGGGUGAUCGGCCACACUGGAACUGAGACACGGUCCAGACUCCUACGGGAGGCAGCAGUAGGGAAUCUUCCGCAAUGGGCGAAAGCUUGACGGAGCAACGCCGCGUGAGUGAUGAAGGUCUUCGGAUCGUAAAACUCUGUUAUUAGGGAAGAACAAAUGUGUAAGUAACUAUGCACGUCUUGACGGUACCUAAUCAGAAAGCCACGGCUAACUACGUG
rnacentral:rRNA from 1 species